UUAAUACUACAGCUGCAACAAAGUAAGAAGAAAAUGCUACAUAAACGUUUUCAGAAGAGAGAAGAGAAGGAAAUCUUACCUUCGACGGAACCGAGAGACCGGAAGUUAAUAGGACAGAUUAAAUUCCGGGCACAGUUGCCGUCGGCGGUUUUGCUGAAGGUGGGAAGGUGAGGAUGAAAACGCAGUAGUGGCGUUGUUGUAUCUUACGACUGUUUGUUUUACUGACUGAGCAAGUAGAAGAAGGAAGAGAAGGCAGCGCUGUUAUGACUGGUCUGUCUGCUUUAUUCUGUGCGCCAAUCCCGAAACCAUCGCCGGAGACGGAUCACCAAAGGCGCUGGCAAAUCUCACGAGUUCCUGUUUCGCUGUGUGUCUGCUGCCGCGCACCCGGAUUUUCCACCACGAUGACGAAGAGGAACAGAUCAAAAGACGAAGGAACAAUUAGCGUUUUCCUGAUGGCAAGGUCAAAAAGAGGAGAGGAAGGACAGUUCCUUGGCCUGGGAUCGUCAACAAUCGAACAUUCUUCUAUGGUUUGUCACUGCAUAUCCAUGCAUCAGUGAGCAUUAGGAGGUCAAGAAAAAAAUUAGACGGAAAAAAUGCCCUGAAAAUAAAGAAAACAGACUUAAAGGAA